rnacentral:misc_RNA from 1 species
UACGUAGGGUGCAAGCGUUAAUCGGAAUUACUGGGCGUAAAGCGUGCGCAGGCGGUUGUGCAAGACAGAUGUGAAAUCCCCGGGCUCAACCUGGGAACUGCAUUUGUGACUGCACGGCUAGAGUGCGGCAGAGGGAGAUGGAAUUCCGAGUGUAGCAGUGAAAUGCGUAGAUAUGCGGAGGAACACCGAUGGCGAAGGCAACCUCCUGGGCCUGCACUGACGCUCAUGAACGAAAGCGUGGGGAGCAAACAGG